UAAGAUGCAUCUCACAUGGGCCAUGCCAGGUCCUACAUCUGUUUUGAUACCUUGAUAAGAGUAUUGAAGGAUUACUUCAAAUUGGAUGUCUUUUACUGUAUGAACAUCACAGAUAUUGAUGGUAAGAUCAUCAGGAGAGCCCAGCAGGACCACCUGUUCCAGCAGUACCCGGAGAAGCAGCCCCCGGCCAUGCAGUUCCUGGAGGAUGUGCACGCCCUCAAGCUAUUUUCAGUAAAAUUAAACAAGACCACAGAUCCCAGUAAAAAAGCAGAUGCUCCAAUGGAAACGGCACGCAGUGAGGCUUGCCACAGAGCCGCUGGAGAAAGCUGUGCAGUCCAGACUCACAGGGGAGGAAGUAGACAGCUGUGCGGAGGUAUUGCUGCAAGAGGCCAAGGAUUUGCUUUCUGACUGGCUGGAUUCCACAUUUGGCAGUGAGGUGACUGACAAUUCCAUUUUCUCCAAACUGCCCAGGUUCUGGGAAGGAGCGUUCUGCAGACAUGUCAGCUCUGAACGUUCUCCCUCCAGAUGUCUUCACCCGCGUUAGUGAGUAUGUGCCAGAAAUCAUGAACUUUGUCCAGAAGAUUGUGGACAAUCCUUAUGGCUAUGUGCCCAUUAGGUCUGUUUACUUUGAUACAGUGAAGUUUGCUUCUAGCGGGAAGCACUCCGAGGGGAAGCUGGUGCCCGAGGCUGUGGGGGAUCAGAAAGCUCUUCAGGAGGGGGAAGGUGACCUGAGCAUCUCCGCAGACCGCCUGAGAGAGAAGCGCUCACCCAACAACUUGGCCCUCUGGAUGGCCUCCAAGCCAGGGGAGCCAUCCUGGCUGUGCCCUUGGGGGAAGGGUCAUCCGGGCUGGCACAUUGAGUGCUCUGCCAUGGCAGACACCCUCCCGAGAACCUCGAUGGACAUCCACGGAGUGGGCUUCGACCUCUGGUUUCCCCACAACAAUGAACUGGCACAGUUGGAGGCCUACUUUGAAAAUGGCUGCUGGGUCCGGUACUUCCUCCACACAGGCCACCUGACCAUUGAUGGCUGCAAGAUGUCGAAGUCACUGAAAAACUUCAUCACCAUUAAAGAUGCCUUGAAAAAGCAUUCAGCACGAGAGUUGAGGCUGGCCUUCCUCAUGCACUCCUGGAAAGACACGCUGGACUAUUCAAGCAACACCAUGGAGUCGGCACUUCAGUACCAGAAGUUCCUGAAUGAGUUUUUCUUAAACGUGAAGGAUAUCCUUCGAGCUCCUGUCGAUGUCACUGGUCAGUUUGAAAAAUGCGAAGAUGAAGAGGCAGAGCUGAACAAGAACUUUUAUGACAAGAAGACAGCCGUUCACGAAGCCCUGUGUGAUAACGUUGACACCCGCACGGUGAUGCAGGAAAUGCGGGCUUUGGUCAGUCAUGCAACCUCUACCUGGCGUCCCAGAGGGAGUGAGGAGAAAGCCCAACCGAGCUCUGCUGGAGAGCAUCGCCCUGUACCUCACCCACAUGCUUAAGAUCUUUGGGGCCAGAGAAGAGGAAAGCUCCCUGGGCUUCCCAGUCAGAGAGCCGAGAACCAGCCUGGAUCUGGAGGCCCAGUCAAGCCCUACCUGCCGCAGGUGUUACUGGAGUUCCGAGGAGGAGUGCGGAAGAUGGCCCGAGAGAAGAACGUCCUGAGGUCCUGCAGCUCUGCGAUGCCCUGCCGCACCACGCCCGCCCGAGCGUGGGGUGCAGUUUGAAGACCAUGAAGGACUACCAACGGUGGUCAAAUUGGUAGACAGAGACACCUUGCUAAAAGAGAGAGAAGAGAAGAAAAGGUUGAAGAGGAGAAGAGGAAGCAGCCUGAAGAAAGCAAGAGCCAGAAGCGGCCAAGAUGAAGGUUUCCCCCAGUGAGGUGUUCUUGUCAGAAAGUGACAAAUAUUCCAAGUUUGGUGAAAAUGGCCUUCCCACGCACUAUACAGAAGGCGAAGAACUGAGCAAAGGGCAAGCCAAGAAGCUGAAGAAACUCCUCGAAGCUCAGGAAAAGCUGUACACGGAGUACCUGCAGAUGGUACAGAAGCUGCCCGUGAGGACGCCCGGACUGACUCUAAACCAAGCCGUCGUGGCCCAGCGGCUUUUCUCUGCCUCAGUGAUGACGUCCCGGGGCUCUGAACAUGUUUGCAGUUGUCCUUGCGUCCUAAAUUAA